rnacentral:rRNA from 1 species
UACGGAGGAUCCUAGUGUUAUCCGGAUUUAUUGGGUUUAAAGGGAGCGUAGGCGGGAGGUCAAGUCAGCUGCGAAAUGUAUCUGCUUAACGGGUACACUGCAGUUGAAACUGGUUUUCUUGAGUGCGUAAGAGGCAGGCGGAAUUCGUUGUGUAGCGGUGAAAUGCUUAGAUAUGACGAGGAACUCCUAUUGCGAAGGCAGCUUGCUGGGUCGUUACUGACGCUGAUGCUCGAAGGUGCGGGGAUCAAACAGGAUUAGAUA